rnacentral:rRNA from 1 species
UACGAAGGGGGCUAGCGUUGUUCGGAAUUACUGGGCGUAAAGCGCACGUAGGCGGAUAUUUAAGUCAGGGGUGAAAUCCCGGGGCUCAACCCCGGAACUGCCUUUGAUACUGGGUAUCUCGAGUCCGAGAGAGGUGAGUGGAAUUCCGAGUGUAGAGGUGAAAUUCGUAGAUAUUCGCAAGAACACCAGUGGCGAAGGCGGCUCACUGGCUCGAUACUGACGCUGAGGUGCGAAAGCGUGGGGAGCAAACAGG